rnacentral:miRNA from 1 species
AGUUGGCCCUCUCUGCCCAGUUUAAAGAGCUUGUCUUUUCUCAGAGAGACGGAUGUCUUUAUAUAGUCUAGACGAGUCUUCUGUCAGCA